UUGGAGAUAAUUCUCUUGGAUUU
rnacentral:snRNA from 1 species